CUUACAAAUAAAAAUAUUUGGCACUGUAUUUUCAAACUGAUUUUGUUUUAUGUAAUUGAAGCAAAAACGACUGAGUCCACUAGGCAAUGGUCCAGCAGACGAACGCAUUACUUUCAUUUUAGCCCAUUGUUGGGUGUGCUUAAUACGCAUGUGAUUCCGUACGGAAUUCGGAUGGGCAAACCGACGACCGCAUUCUAUAACUGGACAAAUAGGGCUAUCACGGGGAUAGUGACCAUCCAAAUGCUGUCGGAAUAGUUCCUGCUCUAACGGAGUUUUGCAGAGAGGGCAAGGCAGCACAUAACUGUUAUUAGUGCUAUAAGUAAUGUCUUGAUCAUUUGAAACUGAUGUUGGAGUCUCUGGCAAAUCGGUGUCGUCACUAAACGCAAAAGUUUUAGCCAUCAAGUUGGUAUCCAAAGUGUUUUGGUGUUUAGUUGCUGCUUUCUGGAGUCCGCAAAGAUAUUCAUAUAACGGUAUGUCUUCAUAUUUCGUAUUCCAGAAACUGUUGCAGAGAAUUGUUGAAUACGGAUGUGAAGUCUUAAGUUUGCUCGAUAUUUCACCAGGAUGCGCUGUUGUAUGAAAGUUAUUUACUCUUUUGUUAAUAACUUCAUUUUUAUUAAGGUACUUAGGGCAUAUAAA